AAUGGGUCAGCGACUUAUAUUCUGUAGCAAGGUUAACCGUAUAGGGGAGCCGAAGGGAAACCGAGUCUUAACUGGGCGUUAAGUUGCAGGGUAUAGACCCGAAACCCGGUGAUCUAGCCAUGGGCAGGUUGAAGGUUGGGUAACACUAACUGGAGGACCGAACCGACUAAUGUUGAAAAAUUAGCGGAUGACCUGUGGCUGGGGGUGAAAGGCCAAUCAAACCGGGAGAUAGCUGGUUCUCCCCGAAAGCUAUUUAGGUAGCGCCUCGUGAACUCAUCUUCGGGGGUAGAGCACUGUUUCGGCUAGGGGGCCAUCCCGGCUUACCAACCCGAUGCAAACUACGAAUACCGAAGAAUGUUAUCACGGGAGACACACGGCGGGUGCUAACGUCCGUCGUGAAGAGGGAAACAACCCAGACCGCCAGCUAAGGUCCCAAAGUCAUGGUUAAGUGGGAAACGAUGUGGGAAGGCACAGACAGCCAGGAUGUUGGCUUAGAAGCAGCCAUCAUUUAAAGAAAGCGUAAUAGCUCACUGGUCGAGUCGGCCUGCGCGGAAGAUGUAACGGGGCUAAACCAUGCACCGAAGCUGCGGCAGCGACACUAUGUGUUGUUGGGUAGGGGAGCGUUCUGUAAGCCGUUGAAGGUGUGCUGUGAGGCAUGCUGGAGGUAUCAGAAGUGCGAAUGCUGACAUAAGUAACGAUAAAGCGGGUGAAAAGCCCGCUCGCCGGAAGACCAAGGGUUCCUGUCCAACGUUAAUCGGGGCAGGGUGAGUCGACCCCUAAGGCGAGGCCGAAAGGCGUAGUCGAUGGGAAACAGGUUAAUAUUCCUGUACUUGGUGUUACUGCGAAGGGGGGACGGAGAAGGCUAUGUCAGCCGGGCGACGGUUGUCCCGGUUUAAGCAUGUAGGCGGAGGU
rnacentral:rRNA from 2 species